rnacentral:sRNA from 1 species
CCAGAACCAGCUGCCGGAUCGGGGCGCGA